UCAAAAUGUUCAAUUCUACUGAAACUUAUUUUACCAUUCGUGAAGGGAUUAUUGGAAGUUCGAAAUCGAAUUGUUAGAAAAGCUAGAGGCUCUUGUUUAGAAGCUGGCCAUUAUGAGUUUAUCGAUAUUUCAUGGAAAACAUGGUCGCUGUGAGAUAAACGAAUAGCAUGAGAUGGCACUUCAAGUCCCAGAACCUAGCACAAAAUUCACUCUUCAUAUUAGUCUUGUUUGUAACAUUCUUUGUUUGUUAGCCGUCUAUAAUCCAGAAAGAUCCAUCUCUUAUCUUAUCAUUUACCACGUGAUUUGUAACUGAUAUAUAACACUGUAUAUGUAAAUGAAACUCAACUCGGUUUCACAGAAAAAAGCUCCGUUUAUGCUAAAACAAAUCUUUAUUUUUCACCCUAAAUAGAACAAGAAAACAAUAACCAUAACCAUACCUAAACUAACAAACAUACCAAAAUAGACCUGUUAUUGUCUAAUUCACCGGUGUCAAUUCACUCAAAAUCUUACUAAAUAUAACCAUUUUUUAGCAUGCGCAUAUAUAAACUCAAGUCCUUCCUCUUCAUGAAACCUAAUCGGUGUUCAAGCAUAAGCACAAGAACGUAAAUAUAUAUACAUAUACUCAUACAAUAUAUAUACGUUUCCGUGUUUAUACCACACGCACAAUGUCAAUCAAUCUCCUUAUGACCCUCCUCGGGACGACCUUCCUCCUUCUCGUUGCCUCAAGCCAAGCGUUGAAGCUUUCUCUCGGUGACCCCUGCACUGUGGCGGAUUAUCCAAAAUUAUGCAGACGCACCAUUAAAGGUCAAACGAAUGUGAACGCAGCGACGGAUAUGGCCAUAAAAGAGCUAAUGAAGCGGACCAUGCAAGCCAAAGAUAUGGCCAAGAAAGAGCCGAAAGGCGACGGAGGAGUUGCGGUUUGUUUGUCCACCUUCGGUAGCGCGUUUGACAACUUGGACAAGGCCCUUAAGAAUAUUCAGGGGAAUGAUGGUUUUAGCCUCAACAUUAACCUUAGCGCUGCGUUGACUGACUACGAUACUUGCAGUGAUGCAAUGAAGGAAACUGGUGAGGUUAGCGUUAGCGUCGUCUAUAAAUCAGCAGGCGUUUUGUAUAAAAUGGCUGAUAAUUGUUUGGCACUUUCUACACUCGUUAAACUAUGAUUUAUUAAGGAGAACUGGGAAUUUCGGGGAAAUAAAUGAUAUAUUUAUCAUUUGAUUAUACGGGUUUAUUUAUUUGUAUUUUUAUUCAAUUUGAUUAAUUUCAUAUUAGCUGAAAGAAAAAAAAAAUAGAAGGAAAGAUGAAAAAGGGAGAGGGAGAUCUUGUGUGUAUGUAGAUGGAAAACGUUUGGACACUGGGUUCUAAUUCAAACAUAUCAACUUCUGUUUCAGUCACAUGUACAUGUGUAUAAUAUUAGUUAGGUGAUAUUCUUCUCUUUUAUCUCCUUCUAUUAGAGUCUAUAAAUCUGUAAAAAAAUUGGGAGAGGAAAAACCAUUUUAACAACAGCCAUAGUACAUACUUUAUUCAGUUUUAUAGUUUUUUUAAAAAUAAAUUGGAGGAAGAGAUGCAGGUGAAAAAACACUUGUCAUUUAACAAAUUUUUGAAGAAAGUUAUAACUCAUUUUUUGCUAUUUAAUUUUUUUCUAGUUGCCUAUAGAGAGAAAUAAUCUUAUAUAUAAUGGAACAUUUUUGGCUCUCCUAAGGUUGUCUACGUGUCCACUUUAUAAAGACUGUAGGGACUACUUAAUGUCCGGUUUAGUUUUGUCGAGUAGAUGUGUAUUUUGCCCGGUUUAGUUUUUCCGAAUCGGAUUGAAGUUUGGUCGGUCUGAUAUGUGUCUACCGCGUUUGGUUUUGUAAAUGAGUAAAACUAUGCGUUCCGCUUAGGGCUUCGUUGUUGUCGUCCUCACAAAACUUGACCUCGCCGUUUUCUGCUUUUAUAAACUGGAAAACUCAUGUUUGUCAUCUCAAUCUCUUUACCUUCCUUGUCGUUAUCUCUUCCCUAUCGUUCAAUGUUUUUCUUCAAUUUCGUUCUUUUAAUCCGGAAAUAUUUAUUAAUCACAAAAAACUCACUUACGAUGUAGCCUUUUCCGUUUCCUUCACUUGAAAUCUAUAUAUAUCAGCGGGUUAACCAUGAUUGAUCCUCUCAACCACUUGCAGUUUAUCAUUUUAUAAAGCUAAGAAAUAUUUUUAAAGAUGGCUUUGUUCUCGUGCACUCAGCCUUUGAUGAUCUUCGCCUCAGUAGAUCUGCCCAGUUUGUAGUUGGUCGUCUGCUCUGUUUUUGGGACUCCAAAAACAUCAAGAAGCAAGGUGAAUUCGUGGGAAUCACCCUCCAACUCCUUUAUGAGAAGCUUCAUGUGUCAUUUCCAAUAGUAGAUUAAGUUCAUGACUUCAACGAGCCGUUGAUCCAAGUAAAUAUAAAAUAUGUUUGGGUUUUCGAUAAGCAUUACUAUGUCUUUAAUAUACUACCUUGGUAAAGACACAUGAAGCUGAUUUUAUUUGCAAGGGUCGGGUUGUUGAAGUCAUGCAACAAAAUGGGUGGUCUUUCGUCUCCUGCACUGGCUGCAGCACAAAGCUUGACAAAUUUGGGACUUCUCUGCGUUGCACCCGUUGUAUUAAUCCGAACAUAAUUGGCGUUAUCAAGUAUCGAGUGGAAUUAUUGGUUGAUGAUGGGAAUGAUAAUGCCACUUUUGUGGUGUUCGGCAGGGAAAUGCUUAAACUGACAAAGCAAGAUGCAGCUGGACUGACCCUAGCUGAGAUGAAUGGUGGUGGCGACGUAGAACUCCCACAAUGUCUUAAAGACCUAGCUGGUAAAGAUUUUGUCUUCCAGAUACGUGUGACACCGUUCAAUUUUACUCCAAGCCACCAUGUUUUUACUGUUUCCGAUCCUCGACAACAUCACCCCCAAGACUUUCAAGACCAAUGAAGAUCAAUUUCUUCAAGUUGAAGGUGGGGAACCAUCGGCAUCUGCCAGCGUUAAGGCUACAGGUGAAGGCAAUGAACCAAAUCCACCCGCUUGUGGAGUCAAGGAGAGUGGCCGUAAACGCCCACAUGAGUGAAGUUAAAAAGCUGCAACAACGUCAACCCUGCACUGUUUUUGUUUCGUUCAUUUUCCUCCCGUGCUUUGCAUAUCCUAUUUAAGACAUUUUCCUACCGUUUCCUGCAUUUCCUAUUUUUUAGACCUUGUGCUUAAUUUCAUAUUUGAAGGCUUUUGUUUUGUUUAGACACUUACGAUUUUAAUUAUUAUCAAAAUGGGUUGACAAAAUAUUUGGUAUU